rnacentral:rRNA from 1 species
GUAGGUGGCAAGCGUUGUCCGGAAUUAUUGGGCGUAAAGCGCGCGCAGGCGGUUCUUUAAGUCUGAUGUGAAAGCCCACGGCUCAACCGUGGAGGGUCAUUGGAAACUGGAGAACUUGAGUACAGAAGAGGAAAGCGGAAUUCCACGUGUAGCGGUGAAAUGCGUAGAGAUGUGGAGGAACACCAGUGGCGAAGGCGGCUUUCUGGUCUGUAACUGACGCUGAGGCGCGAAAGCGUGGGGAGCAAACAGGGAUUAGAUACCCUGGUAGUCCACGCCGUAAACGAUGAGUGCUAAGUGUUAGGGGGGUUUCCGCCCCCUUAGUGCUGCAGCUAACGCAUUAAGCACUCCGCCUGGGGAGUACGACCGCAAGAUUG